UUUAUGAAGUGCUGUUUCAUCAGCGUGUCUGAGGUCGAUGCAUGUAUGUAAAUACUGCUAGCAAAAGCAAUAAUGUUGUCUUUCAUCACAAUAGAGAAUCGUUACCUUUGUGUGCUGUGCCAGUGUUUUUUUCCCUUUUUUUGGUGUGUUUCUUUUACAUCUAUUUCUUUCUCCAGAGGAGAUGCUGCCUUUUUUUUUGACAUUGUAACAAAAAUAAAUUAUUUAGGCAAAAACAUAAAUUACGUUAAUUUAUUCUAAUAAACACGACAGUGUAAUUUCAAGUUUUAAAAAAAGAAAAAUAGCGGAGAAAUUAUAUUGCCAAGUGUGUUAUGUUUCUACUUAAAAGAAUUUCAACUUUAUUUACAGUAUCAUAUAAAGUUUUCAAUGAAAAGCACAAAAUUACUAAAGAAUAUCGACACAAGAAACUUUGCACUUUAGCAAUGCCCGGUCCCGAACACCGGUCCGAAUCACACACUUCUUCUGGACCCAGAGGUGGAGCUCUAAAGCCCCCUCACCCACUCUCUGUCAGGCUCUCCGGCUGGCCGAGACAGAGCGGGCCUGUCGCUAGAGCCAAGCAGCAGCAGCGGCACAGGCACCGCUCUCCCCUCCAGCCCCUGUCUUUAUCCCCGCCUGAGCAUUAGAUGUGAUUACUGCUCAGCGCUCGACACUGACAGAGACCGAGAGCUCCCAGAGACAGCAGGAGCGGGAGAGAGACUGACUGCAGGGAGGAAAAGAAGAGCUCCGCUCUCCGCUGAAGAAGCAGCUGCUACAGUGAUGCAAGAGUGCCCCCUGCUGCUUCCUGUGUCUGGGAGCGUCACUGGACAGUAGAUCGCUUACAGUUGAAGCUCAUCACCAAAAACCAAAUCAUUUAAAUACCAGUGGAAUCCUGCAAAAUGCUGCAGUGACAUGACAGGCAGUGUGUCUUGAAACCGAUUUACCAUGGUCUCCAUGAGCUUCCAGUCCUUCUCCAGUUGCUCCAUCGGUCGGGUCCACCAGCUGCAGAAGCGGGCGUAACGCUGGCCCUGAAACCAAUACUGCCGCAGCCAUUCGAACUCCACCUAUGGAAACACAAACAAGCAAUGAGAAAUACCAACGGCAUGCAAACACUCAAAUUUUUACUACCUUAAACACAUAUGGACUCAGACAGGCUGAAAUUUGCUACGAUUCUAAAUAAACUCAUGCUGGAAAAAAAAU